GAAAAGUUUUUUAGUAAAGGAUCUUGAUUUUACCCAGCAAUUUCCCCCCAAAAUCUGACUAUAAGUCUUUUCUCAUUUUGGGGGAUACAUCUAAUCCAUUUAGAAAGGAGACUGUUUGGAAUUAUAAUUCUAGUGACUUGCCAUGGAGCUUGAGAUCACAAAUAAGAACAGCUUCAUAGUUAAUCUUUGACCUUUUGUCCUAAAGCCCAAUUUAUUCCCUCUUCUUAAUUACCUUUACUCUUCAUUUAUAGCUCCCUUUCCAUUGGUUAUUUCUCAUCAACAUUAAGUCCUUCUGAUUUUGGCAAAAAAAGGUCCAGUAUUCCUAAUGUUUUUAUUACCAUCUAUAAACCAAGCUUCUUUUUAAGGAUGGAAUAUUGCUAGUUGCCCAAGUGUCUUUGAACUCCUGGGUGCAAGUGAUCCUUUUGCCUUAGCCUUCCAAGUAGCUAGAACUACAGAGGUAUACCACUCCGCUUGGCUCAUACAUCUGCCCGCUUUACUUUUGUGAUACUAAUGGCAGCGUUUACAUCCUGAGGACAGAAGGUCCUGAUUCCAACAACUUGUUAUCUUUUGAUCUUAGGAAAGUUAGCCUCUUUUGUCCACCUGUUGUAUAGGAAGCACUUGCUUUAGAGGCUUUUAAGAAUCAGAUAAAAUAACGCAGAAGAAAACAUAAAACCUAUUGCUUAGUGCAGAAGUCCCUAUUUAUCCACUGAGAAUAUAUAUAUAUUACCACCCAAUGCCCCAUAGAUGCCUGUACUUAAGUCUAG
rnacentral:lncRNA from 1 species